rnacentral:rRNA from 2 species
UACGAAGGGGGCUAGCGUUGUUCGGAUUUACUGGGCGUAAAGCGCACGUAGGCGGAUUGGUCAGUUAGGGGUGAAAUCCUGGAGCUCAACUCCAGAACUGCCUUUAAUACUGCCAGUCUCGAGUCCGGAAGAGGUAAGUGGAACUCCUAGUGUAGAGGUGGAAUUCGUAGAUAUUAGGAAGAACACCAGUGGCGAAGGCGGCUUACUGGUCCGGUACUGACGCUGAGGUGCGAAAGCGUGGGGAGCAAACAGG